rnacentral:rRNA from 1 species
CCCUUAGAUGUUCUGGGCCGCACGCGCGCUACACUGACGAAGUCAGCGAGCAUCUCCUACGCCGAAAGGUGCGGGGAAUCUUGUGAAACUUUGUCGUGUUGGGGAUUGAUUUUUGAAAUUCUUGAUCAUCAACGAGGAAUUCCUAGUAAGCGCAAGUCAGCAGCUUGCGUUGAUUACGUCCCUGCCCUUUGUACACACCGCCCGUCGCUACUACCGAUUGAAUGGUUUAGUGAGAUUCUCGGAUUGGUCCUGGCGUGGUGGGCAACUUCCGUGCCAUGGCGCCGAGAAGACGAUCGAACUUGAUCAUCUAGAGGAAGUAAAAGUCGUAACA